UUGGGCUCUGUGCUGCACAUGGGGCCCACUUGAAUGAUACUAAAAUAAAAUGCAGGUUGAGAAAGAUUUGUUGGUUUAAAGAAAUACCAAGAAUGGUUCUUGGAUACGGUAAACGUCGUGCAAAGGUGAGAAGUGAAUGUUAAGUUUGGGAAACACUGGCUUAGCAUCCUUGGCUCUGCCUCCUCCCGCAGUCCAUCCUCCUCUCUGCUCGCAGAAGCUCGAUGGGUGAGCCUUUCGACACAGACUGCCUGGGGUUUGAUCCUUGGGAGCUGUGACCAGAACCCAGGGCGGCCUCGGUGGUUGACCGAGGUGAACUUCCAGGGCCUUCGCUGCAAGGCUGUAAGAACUAAAUAAGUCGUGUGAGAAAUAUUCAGUCGCUGUCACCCUAAAACAGACCAUGUCACCACUCCCUUCUACAACAAAAACCUUUGAGAGUUUCCUCUUGCCGACAAGAUAAAGCCCAGGUCCCUUUGCAUUUUUUACAAAGUUAUGUUUUCCUUCCCAGCUCAUCCCUUGCCAUCGUCCACCAAGUAUCCUAAGUGUCUAGAAUAUCAAAUGACUUGUUCUUUAUUGCAAAGCUUCUCUCUGUCUCUCUCUCCCCCCUGCCUCCCUCCCUCUCCCACCCUUUGUCCUCGCUACCUGCUCUGCAUGCCAUUUCCCCUGUGCUGCUCUCUUGGGCCUUCCCUGACAGUCCAGAUUGUAACACAGGGAGACCCUGCCUGAUUUCCCCGCUUGUCCCACCCGCUGUGGGAUCCGGGCUGUCUCAGAUCUAUAGCGGGAAUUGUCAUACUGUUUAUGUGCCCAGUUUCUCUUCCAUCUAGACUGUGGACUUCUCAGGACGAGGGACUUACUUCUCUUUGGAUCCCAGGUCUUUGUCUCCGUUUGAGAAUGAACGUAUUUGUUCAUGGAGGGAGACAGUUGGAGCUAGAGGACAGGGUUGGCCACAGGAAGAAGAUACUUUUGAGAUGACAUAAGUAAAGGUUUGCUCCAAGGCCAACCUUUUGCCUCAGGAAUUCCAUCUUGCACCAACAUUCAAAUUAGGAGACGAAAACACCCAGCCAUUCCGGUGGAUUCCAUACCCACCUAGUUCUUUCAAGAUUCUACAAUCGGUGAGCUGAUUUCCCCCCGAGAGGAAGAAUGUACUGUUGUGCUCAUUUUCUUUUGCCGCUGUAACGAGUCACCACAAAUUUAGUGGCUUAAAGAAAGCUUUAUCAUCUCACAGUUCUGGAAGCCAGAAGUCCUACAAACUGCUGCCGGGGCUGACCUCUUCUUGCAGGCUGUAGCCUUGCUUCUUCCAGCUUCCAGAGGCCGCCCACCCCUCCUCCACUUGCAACCCCUUCCCGCAUGUUGCAAGCCAGCUGCGUGACAUCUUCAACCCUCCUGCACCCUCCUCUGCUUCUGUCACCACAUCUCACACUGUGGCUCUCCUGCCUCCCGCUUAGUCCCUCAUGGCUAGUUUGGGCCCACCCGGAUGACCCGUCUCCCCAUCUCAAGGACCUUAACCACAUCUGUAAAGUCCCUUUUGCCAUGGAGGGUGCCGUUCCUGUUUGCCUGGAUAAGGAAUACCGACCUGAGAGGCUGUGGACCACCUGCGGCUUUUUAAAGCCCUGAAGGGGGCGGUUUUCACCCUUUGAUGUACAUCAGAAUCACCUGGAGAAUUUGGGCCCCAUCUCCCUAGCUUCGGGUUCAGAAUUUUCGGACCUGGGAUGACCUUUGAGAAUUUGAAUUUCUAGUAAGUUUCCAGCACUGCUGUUGCUGGUCUAGGG